rnacentral:rRNA from 1 species
UACGUAGGUGACAAGCGUUGUCCGGAUUUACUGGGCGUAAAGAGCGCGCAGGCGGUCGUUCAAGUCGCGUGUGAAAGCCCCCGGCUCAACUGGGGAGGGUCACGCGAUACUGAUCGACUCGAAGGCAGGAGAGGGUAGUGGAAUUCCCGGUGGUAGUGGUGAAAUGCGUAGAUAUCGGGAGGAACACCAGUGGCGAAGGCGGGUCGCUGGGC